rnacentral:rRNA from 1 species
UCAGAUUGAACGCUGGCGGCAUGCCUUACACAUGCAAGUCGAACGGCAGCAUGAUCUAGCUUGCUAGAUUGAUGGCGAGUGGCGAACGGGUGAGUAAUACAUCGGAACGUGCCCUGUAGUGGGGGAUAACUAGUCGAAAGAUUAGCUAAUACCGCAUACGACCUGAGGGUGAAAGUGGGGGACCGCAAGGCCUCAUGCUAUAGGAGCGGCCGAUGUCUGAUUAGCUAGUUGGUGGGGUAAAGGCUCACCAAGGCGACGAUCAGUAGCUGGUCUGAGAGGACGAUCAGCCACACUGGGACUGAGACACGGCCCAGACUCCUACGGGAGGCAGCAGUGGGGAAUUUUGGACAAUGGGCGAAAGCCUGAUCCAGCAAUGCCGCGUGUGUGAAGAAGGCCUUCGGGUUGUAAAGCACUUUUGUCCGGAAAGAAAUGGCUCUGGUUAAUACCUGGGGUCGAUGACGGUACCGGAAGAAUAAGGACCGGCUAACUACGUGCCAGCAGCCGCGGUAAUACGUAGGGUCCAAGCGUUAAUCGGAAUUACUGGGCGUAAAGCGUGCGCAGGCGGUUGUGCAAGACCGAUGUGAAAUCCCCGAGCUUAACUUGGGAAUUGCAUUGGUGACUGCACGGCUAGAGUGUGUCAGAGGGGGGUAGAAUUCCACGUGUAGCAGUGAAAUGCGUAGAGAUGUGGAGGAAUACCGAUGGCGAAGGCAGCCCCCUGGGAUAACACUGACGCUCAUGCACGAAAGCGUGGGGAG